rnacentral:tRNA from 5 species
GCGUUUAUAGCUCAGUUGGUUAGAGCACCACCUUGACAUGGUGGGGGUCGUUGGUUCGAGUCCAAU